UACGAAGGGUGCAAGCGUUACUCGGAAUUACUGGGCGUAAAGCGUGCGUAGGUGGUGGUUUAAGUCAGAUGUGAAAGCCCUGGGCUCAACCUGGGAACUGCAUUUGAUACUGGAUCACUAGAGUGCGGUAGAGGAUAGUGGAAUUCCCGGUGUAGCAGUGAAAUGCGUAGAGAUCGGGAGGAACACCAGUGGCGAAGGCGGGUCUCUGGGCCGAUACUGACGCUGAGGAGCGAAAGCGUGGGGAGCGAACAGG
rnacentral:rRNA from 1 species